UACGGAGGGUGCAAGCGUUAAUCGGAAUUACUGGGCGUAAAGCGCACGCAGGCGGUUUGUUAAGCGAGAUGUGAAAUCCCCGGGCUCAACCUGGGAAUUGCAUUUCGAACUGACAAACUAGAGUACGAGAGAGGGGGGUAGAAUUCCAGGUGUAGCGGUGAAAUGCGUAGAUAUCUGGAGGAAUACCGAUGGCGAAGGCAGCCCCCUGGUUCGAUACUGACGCUCAGGUGCGAAGGCGUGGGGAGCAAACAGG
rnacentral:rRNA from 1 species